rnacentral:rRNA from 1 species
UGGCUCAGGAUGAACGCUGGCGGCGUGCUUAACACAUGCAAGUCGAACGGAAAUUAAAGUUGGAAGUUUUCGGAUGGAAGACUUUAAUUUUAGUGGCGGACGGGUGAGUAACGCGUGGGUAACCUGCCGUAUACAGGGGGAUAACACUUAGAAAUAGGUGCUAAUACCGCAUAAGCGCACAGCUUCGCAUGAAGCAGUGUGAAAAGCUCCGACGGUAUACGAUGGACCCGCGUCUGAUUAGCUAGUUGGUGGGGUAGAGGCCUACCAAGGCGACGAUCAGUAGCCGGCCUGAGAGGGUGACCGGCCACAUUGGGACUGAGACACGGCCCAAACUCCUACGGGAGGCAGCAGUGGGGAAUAUUGCACAAUGGGGGAAACCCUGAUGCAGCGACGCCGCGUGAGUGAAGAAGUAUUUCGGUAUGUAAAGCUCUAUCAGCAGGGAAGAAAAUGACGGUACCUGACUAAGAAGCCCCGGCUAACUACGUGCCAGCAGCCGCGGUAAUACGUAGGGGGCAAGCGUUAUCCGGAUUUACUGGGUGUAAAGGGAGCGUAGACGGUGAUGCAAGUCUGAUGUGAAAGCCCGGUGCUCAACGCCGGGACUGCAUUGGAAACUGUGUUACUAGAGUGCAGGAGAGGUAAGCGGAAUUCCUAGUGUAGCGGUGAAAUGCGUAGAUAUUAGGAGGAACACCAGUGGCGAAGGCGGCUUACUGGACUGUAACUGACGUUGAGGCUCGAAAGCGUGGGGAGCAACAGGAUUAGAUACCCUGGUAGUCCACGCCGUAAACGCGCUUAUAGGUGUUGGUUGGCAAGGCCAAUCGGUGCCGUCGCAAACGCAAUAAGUAAUCCACC